UGUGGGUUUCUUGUUGUUUUGUUGAUUGUUUCUAUUGCUGUGCAGAAACUUUUUAUUUUGUUGUAGUCCCAUGUGUUCAUUUUCUUCUUAGUUUCUUUUGCCCUAGGAGA